GAGAGGGGAAAAAGUUAUUCCAUAAUUGUGCCAAGAGAUUUUUUUCUCCAGUAUCUUUAAGCAGUAAAAAAAAAUACACAGAGGAGCUCCUGUCAUGGUGCAGUGGGUUAGGAAUCCAACUGCAGUCGCUCAGGUCAUUGCUGCGUCUUGGGUUCAAUCCCCAGCUGGGCACAGUAAGUUAAAAGAUCUGGUGUUGCUGCAGCUGUAGCUCAGAUUUGAUCCCUGGUCCAGGAACUUCCAUAUGCCAUGGGUGUAGCUAUUAAAAAAAAAAAAAAUACACAGAGGAGCCUACAACAUUGUUAUUUUAGUAAAGAAGAAUAAUCAAAUGGACCUCAUGUUCUCACUGGUCCUAGGAAAGUCAACUGGUCAAAUACUGCAUCUACAUAGAGAGUUGAAAACAGGUAGAAAAUAAAAUUUUAUUGAGUUUACUGGUCUCUGAACUCCAGCCCUCAGCUCUUUUAUAGAAAGCGGGUCUCUAGUUUGAGACAGAGAAGGUGUUUUAAGUAGAGAGUUCAGCCUGUAUAUUAGAGAGACAGGGCAUUGUUUCUGGGUUUCUUCGUUUGUUUUUUAAAAACAGUAUUCCAGUAUAACUAAUACAGUGGCGCUCAUUUGCAACUUUGGUUUGAAACAAACAAACAAAAGGCAAAGAGGCUGCAAGACAGAAUCAGCAGUCUUCCGUGAUGGUGAUUAGAAUCUGUUGGAAAUUCACAAGCCGUAAACCCAGGCCCAGCAGAGUCAGACACAGCGUUGGCGGGAAGGGGGAGGCGCAGAAUCUUAAUGAGACCUUCUCUAGCUACUAAAGACCCGAGUUCUCCCGGAGAAUCUCAAUUAGGCUUCUCAACUGAAGUUUUGUGGACCAGGGGUGGCUCUAAAUACAUUCAGCUGGAUUGAGCUUUUUACAAAUUAGCCUUAUGUGAAUAUGGCACUUAAAUGAACUCUUUCAUUUCCUUCAUUGCUUCCCUUCUCCCACAGGGGGGAAGAAAGAAAGAAAAAAGCACUUUCACGGUCCUCAUAAACAGAGUCCUUCCAGAACAAGGUAACAAACAAACCACUACACUGCGAAUUUGGGAAAGGUUGGUUUCUUACCUUUUUUCCUGAACGCUCCCGUGUCUUUGUUUUACUUCCUCUUUCAACAUUUUCCGAAGAGCGGUCUUUGGUAAAGAUUUUAGUUAUUAGGGAGUUCCCAUUAUGCUCAGUGGAAAAACCCCCAUGAGGAUUUGAGUUCAGUCCUUGGCCUCACUCAUCAGAUUUGUUAACCGAUGAGCCACGACUGGAACUUCUCUCCUGGGCAUUUUUAUAUUUAGUCAAGAGAAAUGGAAAUCUUAACACUCAGGUCAAACGCAAGUUUCCUUGAGUGAUGAAGCAGGAUAGAGCCCAGGGACGCUCACAUUCGCAGUCCUACUUUCUGGCAGCCCAGAAUACUUCUGAACGCCUCAAGCCUUGCCGCUCGUUAGUGGCACAGAAUGAUAAGCCUAAGGGAAGAAGCAUCCUGAUGAGUUAUGUUAUUUCUGUGUACAGUUCAUGAUUAGUUUAAAGCAUAUCUGGUGUAUGCACGUAAUAUUUGAGGAAGAAAUGCAUAACUUGUCUGCCUAUUGUGGGCUGAGUUAAUUUUUCUAUUUUCAGGCUGAGGUAAUUUUUACUUAUGGGGUAUCUUAGAACUUUUGUUUUCUUUUAUGUAGUAUGUUCCUCUCUUAUACACAUAUGGAGGUGGGCUGUCCCAGCAGUUGCUGUUUGCCUGGGACGGUUGCAUGAGUGGCUCCUCAUGCAGGCUGUAUGUAUUCGGCUCAUUGAGGCCCUUGUGUCCAGAGUGUCCUGAUUUCCUGGGAAGGGUGGAUUUAGAGGAAGCCAGGACAGCUCUGUUGUCCCCCUUUUAUAAGGGGGACUCCCAGUAUCUUUGGAUGACAUAGUGCUGUGAAGUUCCCUGAAUUCAACCCCUUAUGUUGGGAGCCAGAUCAAAUGUGACUGACAUCUGACCACGUCCUAGGACUGCCAGGAACAACAACUGAGCUCUUCCUUACCAUCUUGUCAGUCUUGUAAGUGACUGGAGCAUGUUCACUUGGCAUCCUUGGUCCCAUAAAGCCAGCGUCAGACAAUAUGAAAUUGCUGUUUUAAAUAAUCAGCAGGACUGUAACAUCUCCCACUGAAUAAGAGGUUGGGAAGAGAGUUUAAUAGGAAUGGUUUGGGAGUUCCUGUCGUGCCUCAGUGGUAAUGAACCCAACUAGUAUCCGUGAGGUUCAAUUCCUAGCCUCGCUCAGUGGGUUAAGGAUCUGCCCUUGCCAUGAGCUGUGGUGUAGGUCACAGACAUGGCUCGGAUCCUGCAUGGCGUGUGGCUGUGGCAUAGCCCAGCAGCUGCAGCUCUGAUUUGACUCCUAACCUGGGAACUUGCAUAAGAUGUGGGUAUGGUACUAAAGAAAAAAGAAGAGGAAAAGAAACAAUUUGCUAAGGUCCCAUUUAAUCAGCAAAUUCAGUGAAUUUGUUUUGGGCGUUUAUGUGUAGUGUUUACUUGGGGGUUAUAAUGGUAAGCAAAACGUUCUCUCGUGUUCAUAGUUUUGAGCCUGGUAUUAGGACAGCUGAUGUUUGUAGUUCUGAACUGAACUCACGUUGAGUAGGUGAACUGCAGUGGCUCAUCUGCUGAGGCUGCACUGGGAUCCGUUGCUCCAUGACCAGGCAGCCUGAGUUGAGAAUGAUGUAGCUCUUGAGUACUUGUUGAGUUGAAGUAAGGCAAAUUCUUCAAGUAAACACAGGAAAUGGGGAAGGCUUUGAUGAAGCAUCAUUUUGGUUGAUUUCAUUCGUUUUAAUUGCGUUCUGGUUUUCUUAUUUGUGCGUUUGUGUUUCUUUUUAUGGCCAUAAUCACAGCAUGUGGAAGUUCCUGGGCUAGGGGUCGGAUUGGAGCUGUAGCUGCUGGCCUCCACCACAGCCACAGCAACACCAGAUCUGAGCCUCAUCUUCAACCUACGCCACAGCUUGCAGCAAUGCUGGAACUUUAACCCACUGAGCAAGGCCAGGGAUUGAACCUGUGUCCUCACAGGCACCGUAUCGGGUUCUUAACCCUCUGAGCCACCACAUGAACUCCAAGGUCUGGUUUUAGUCAUCAUGGUGUGAAGCAAUGAAACGUGAAGUGGGACAUUUUCAUCUAAAGUGUCAGGAAGAGCGUGGGUUUUACAUCAGAAGUGGUCACACAAGGAAUCCACAGCAUUUCUGUUUGAAAUUUAAUUAUGUGGGAAGAAUUCUGGGUACAUGGGGUUGGUGACCACACAGGUGUUUAGUUCCCAUGUUAAAACAACAGCAGUGAUAGCAAAACUAGGUAACAAGGUGCCCUCGCAACCCCCCAAAACACGAGCAGGUGGAGAUGAAGCACCAGCAGCCCCACAACCUGCCAGGGUACAGUGUCUGUGAGAGAGGAACAGGGAGGAGGCGGUGGGGCAGCAUCUGGGAGACAUGAGGACGGGAGAACCACCUCACAACCGUCGGGACCCACGGGGCCGAGUCCCUGUUGCCCCUAGGAAUUCUCAAAAGCAACUUGCCAGAGGCCCUUCCAGGAUGAGGCCACACACUGAAGAGAAGUUGCUGGGGUGGAAUCACGGUUGGGCAGGUCAGGGACAAUAGACAAAGGAGAUUGUCUAGAUCAAGGUGGACAAGGCAGCAGAGCCAGGAAGUCCCAGGAAUCAAUGCAGAAACAACACGAGGGAACCUGUGAAGGUAACGAAGCUUUCCUGAAUCCUUUGUCCCAAACUUCAGGAAAAUUAAUUUUACAGAAAAAAUGAACAACAUAAUAGCAUCGAGGUCAAAUCUCAUGUAAAGUUAUAAGCAAGAAGACUAAGUGAAUAAUAUCUCUGUGGAGAAUGAAAGCAUUCCAGAAACACGUCCACAAGAGAAAACCGUAUUCUUUCAUUGCUCCAGGUUUUCAAGAAAUGGUAUAAGAUAUGAAAGCAACACCCAAUUGGAAUUGUAAGAACUAAGAUGACAGAAAAAGACAACUAAGAUGAAAAAACACAGGAAAGGAUUAGAAAUAUUUCAGAAUUGUAUGGGAGCUCCCAUUGUGGCUCAGCGGUAAUGAGCCUGACUAGUGUCCAUGAGGAUGCGGGUUCAAUCCCUGGCCUUUCUCAGUGAGUUAAGGAUCUGGUGUUACUGUGAGCUGUGGUGUAGGUCAUAGAUGUGGCUUGGAUCCCUCAUAGGCUGGCAUCUGCAGCUCUGUUUCUGUNUUGCUGUGGCUGUGGCAUAGGCUGGCAUUUGCAGCUCUGUUUCUAUUCCUAGCCUGGAAACUUCCAUAUGCUGCAUAUGCAGCCCUAAAAAGCAAACAGCAAAAAAUAAAAAAAACUAUUUAAAAAAAACCUUUAAAUAAAAAAUGACAGACCUAAAAGGUUUUUUAUUUUUAUUUUUAUUUUAUUUUAUUUUUUGUCUUUUGGCUUUUCUAGGGCCGCUCCUGCAGCAUAUGGAGGUUCCCAGGCUAGUGGUCUAAUCGGAGCUGUAGCCACCGGCCUACACCAGAACCCCAGCAAUGCAGGAUCCGAGCCCCGUCUGCAACCUACACCACAGCUCAUGGCAAUGCCGGAUCCUUAAUGCACUGAGCAAGACCAAGGAUCGAACCCACAACCUCAGGGUUCCUAGUCGGAUUCAUUGACCGGUGAGCCAUGAUGGGAACUCCUUAAAAGAUUUUUUAAAAGGUUAAAAAUGACAUUGAAGUUAGGCGAAGGUCAAACAUAGGAUCGGUAGGAGUUCCUAAAGAAGAAAUCCAAGAGAAGUGGAAGAUGUUAAAAAUACAUCAGGAGUACUUCCCCGAAUUCAGAAAAGAAAUUGUAUAUUGAAAGAGCACCCCAAAUAAUUAACAUUGGCCUAAAAUAACCAUCAAUCAUGCAUAUUCUAGUGAAGUUACUGGACUGUGAGGGAAAGUAGAUCUUUUGAGCCUCUGAUAAACGCAUGUGAUUCGUAAAGGAAAUGAUGAGAUUAUCAGAAUUUUCAACAGUAACAUUUUGUACCAGAUGCAGAUGGAGCAAUAUAUUUAGGAUCCUCAAGGAAAGAAAAUCAGGAAUUUUCUCUGCAACAAAAAUGACUUUAAAUGUAUAAAAGGCACAAAUUAUCAGCAUUUAAGAGUUCAAGAAAGACUCUUCCCAUGAUCCCAUCUUUAAGAACUGAUUAUAGAACAAAUUUGGGGGACAUCUGCCUAAGAACUCAUGGUUGAGCAUUGAGUAAUUGCCUAGAGAAAUAAGACUGAAUGAGGGCAGACAGGGAGGUUAUACAGUCCUCGGUGACGGCAUACACCCCAAUGAAUGAAGAUUUAGUCCCAUUAUAAUGAGUGGGGAGAACAUAUGCAAAGGAUUUUUACUAUUCAGUGAUUGUAUCAGUGCUGUUAUUCUGAUGGGUGUGUAUGAAGUAAGAGAUUAAACAAAUGGCUGUUUUUGGGGUAUCCUAAUUCUGUCGUCCUCUGAGUCUGAGUAUCAGGAUUCACAUUUUGGAAAAGUGUGAAAAAAUUCUGUGGUCUUUAGUUUGGAUUGGGAGUUUCAGUAUGAAAUCAUGAGGUAGUUUAUGUUUGUGUGUAUGUGUGAUCUAACUGUAGAAAGAUUGCAGUUUUCUCUUGGGUACAUGUUUCUGGAAUGCUUUCAGUCUCCAUACCAUGUUAUUCACUUACUCUUCUUCCUUAUAAUUUUAUAUGGGAUUUGACCUUGAUGUUAUCAUUUUGUUCAUUUUUAUGUAAAAUUAAUUUUCCUGAAGUUUUGGACUAAGGAUUCACUUGGGUUAAGAAACGACCCACUCAAGCAACAUCUCGUAACACCCCACAUUUUGACCCAGGCGUGUCAUUUCUCAUGAAAAGAAACAAAGGCUUUUUAGAGGUGUGGCUGGUUCUGGGUCUGAGACAAGAAGAGCACAAGAUGAUCCUGGACAAUCUUGUCAUGGUUAAUAACAAGGCAGCUGUCAUAUGUGACUAGGAUCUUGUCAAAGGCAACUUGGAGAGAAUACCACUGGCCGAAGACAGGAUAGCGGUGGUGGUGCGGUUCUGUAAUGAGAAUAAUCAGAGUGAUCGCGGCAAAUUGAGGCCAGUGAUAUAUUUCCAACCAUGAAUUCAUGAUGAGAUUUAAAGAUAAUCACCUUUAAAGGAUGAUCAGGAAUCAGUAUCUUCUGGAAAACUGGUGAAUAAGGGGAAAGAAGCAAUUAUCCUGUCUUUUCUGUUUGCUCUUGACUCCUGGGCAGUCAAAUGGCAGAUGAGGGAAAGUAUCUCUAUGUACAUGUAUUCCAAGUAAUGAUUGAAAAAGGAAUUAGGAAGUUUCUAUUGUGGUGCUGUGGAAGCGAACCCAAUUAGUGAUCCCUGGCCUCGCUCAGUGGGUUAAGGAUCCACUGUUGCUGUGAGCUGUGGUGUAGGUCGCAGAUGCUGCUUGGAUCCUGCAUUGCUGUGGCUGCAGGCUGGCAGCUAUAGCUCCGAUUCGACCCCUAGCCUGGGACCCUCCAUAUGCCGCAG
rnacentral:lncRNA from 1 species